AGUAUGAAAAGAGCAAGGGAGAGACUUGGGGGAACCUCUGCUCAGCAUCAGGAACAAAAGGCAGAGCUCAAAAUGACCUUCACCAUGGCCUGGUCCUGUCUCCUCUUCACAUUCCUUUUUCAGUGCACAGGGACCUGGGCCCAGUCUGUGCUGACUCAGCAGCCCUCACUUUCUGGGACUCCAGGACAGACAGUCACCAUCUCCUGCACUGGAAGUAGCAACAAUAUUGGUUACAGUUUUGUGAACUGGUAUCAGCAGUUCCCAGCAACAUCCCCUAAACUCCUCAUCUAUGGUGAUAGUAAUCGACCCUCAGGGAUUCCUGAUCGCUUCUCUGGCUCCAAGUCUGGCAACUCUGGUUCACUGACCAUCACUGGUCUCCAGCCUGAUGAUGAGGCUGACUAUUUCUGUCAGUCUUAUGACAGUAGCCUCAAUGCUCCCACAGUGCUCCAGGUUCAUGGGGAA